rnacentral:rRNA from 1 species
UACGUAGGGGCUAGCGUUAUCCGGAAUUACUGGGCGUAAAGGGUGCGUAGGCGGUCUUUCAAGCCAGAAGUGAAAGGCUACGGCUCAACCGUAGUAAGCUUUUGGAACUGUAAGACUUGAGUGCAGGAGAGGAGAGUGGAAUUCCUAGUGUAGCGGUGAAAUGCGUAGAUAUUAGGAGGAACACCAGUGGCGAAGGCGACUUACUGGACUGUAACUGACGCUGAGUCACGAAAGCGUGGGUAGCAAACAGGAUUAGAUACCCCGGUAGUCCCUGAGCGGG